rnacentral:rRNA from 1 species
AGUGAACGCUGGCGGUAGGCCUAACACAUGCCAGUCGAACGGCAGCACAGUAAGAGCUUGCUCUUACGGGUGGCGAGUGGCGGACGGGUGAGGAAUACAUCGGAAUCUACUUUUUCGUGGGGGAUAACGUAGGGAAACUUACGCUAAUACCGCAUACGACCUACGGGUGAAAGCAGGGGAUCUUUGGACCUUGCGCGAUUGAAUGAGCCGAUGUCGGAUUAGCUAGUUGGCGGGGUAAAGGCCCACAAAGGCGACGAUCCGUAGCUGGUCUGAGAGGAUGAUCAGCCACCCUGGAACUGAGACACGGUCCAGACUCCUACGGGAGGCAGCAGUGGGGAAUAUUGGACAAUGGGCGCAAGCCUGAUCCAGCCAUACCGCGUGGGUGAAGAAGGCCUUCGGGUUGUAAAGCCCUUUUGUUGGGAAAGAAAAGCAGCAGGUUAAUACCCCGCUGUUCUGACGGUACCCAAAGAAUAAGCACCGGCUAACUUCGUG